GCUAUUGAUUGCAAAUUUGUUCCAUACUUGACCCCUAAACAGAUCGUGUUCCCAUUCCCUGCAACUGAAAAAGUUACCAAAUUCAAGCUCUCACCUGCCUGCUGCUUUCCUUUUUUAAUAUCUUCAUAUUCAUCUUCACUUCCGUUGCGGCCAACAGUCAUCUCUGCCUAUAAGAAAAAUGUGGUGGAGUCGAAUUAUUACGAGGAUACCUUCACAUUAACUUACUUAGAGGUGAAUUUUUCUAUAUAUAUAUAUUCAUUCGAAUUAUUAUUUAUUUUAUUUAUUUAUUUAGGGGAAUAGCUGGUUGUGG
rnacentral:misc_RNA from 1 species